rnacentral:rRNA from 1 species
AGGUGGCGAGCGUUAUCCGGAUUUACUGGGCGUAAAGGAUGCGUAGGUGGAUUUUUAAGUGAGAUGUGAAAUGCCCGGGCUCAACCUGGGAACUGCAUUUCAAACUGGAAGUCUAGAGUGCAGGAGAGGAAAGCGGAAUUCCUAGUGUAGCGGUGAAAUGCGUAGAGAUUAGGAAGAACACCAGUGGCGAAGGCGGCUUUCUGGACUGUAACUGACACUGAGGCAUGAAAGCGUGGGGAGCAAA